rnacentral:rRNA from 1 species
CGGGAAGAGCUCAAAUUUAAAAUCUGGCGGUGUAUUCCGUCCGAGUUGUAGUCUAGAGAAGCAUCAUCCGUGCUGGACCAUGUACAAGUCUCUUGGAACAGAGCGUCAUAGAGGGU